AUGCCAUUGUUUGUACAUGCCAUUGAUAUAAAUUGAUGCCAUUGUGUGCUGAAUUUUGAAAUUGAUAUAAUUACUUUAGAAAUGCUCAGUAACAGAGACUAAAUUAUGAUACAUGAAAAUGCACUUUCUCUCAUGUUGACAAAUGAUAUAAUGUUGUUUCUCUGCAACACCUCAGGCCUCUGACCUCACUGACAUGCGAGGUGUUUUCAUUUGAGUGCUUCCAGUAGUUUGAAGCAGUUCUUCAAAGCAUGUUUUGCUUCAGAUGAUGGAGACUCAAAUCAACAUGUGCUCGUUGGAAUUCUUAACCGAGAAAAUGAUGAUGUGGCUCUGCAACCCCUGUCCUUCCACCUCCACCCAUCCCCUGUGGGAAUCAUCUUGGAGGGAAAUGUUGUAAUGGACAAUACAGACAAUAUACCCCAGGCCAUGUGUCUUUUUGGAUCAACCUAUGCACUGCACCUAGGCUACGCAAAAUGCAUGGACAAUACCCUUCUUUUUAUUCAACAAGUUUGGGUAAGAAGACGCUGAAGGGUAAGAUUCUGGCUUGUCAUGUAAACUGGUACAAAAAAGGCAUGUUCCUUCAGGCUUGCUGUACUAACUGUGAGUUACAAAAACUUAAAACUAUGCCUUAGUGUUUGGCAAGUGUAAAUAUUCCAUAAUGUUACAAUGUAAUAAUAUCUUGUGGUUGUUUAUUACUUGGAUAUGUUUGUAAAGAUUUAUUGAAAUAUUUUAAACAAGUGUUUUAAUAAGAUUUAUAACAAUAAAUAUCGACAAAUUGUUAUACAAGGCA